GCGUCAUUACACCACUCAAGCCUCGCUUGGUAUUGGGCGAAGGGGCACUACCGCCCCCCGCCCCAAUGUCUCCGGCUGGACCGUCCGAAUCUCAGCGUUGUGGCAAAACAAAUUCGCUGGCGGGACGGGCGGACUACGCCGUUUAAAACACCCCAUCACAGGUUGACCUCGGAUCAGGUAGGGAUACCCGCUGAACUUAA
rnacentral:misc_RNA from 1 species